rnacentral:rRNA from 1 species
UACGUAGGGGGCUAGCGUUGUCCGGAAUCAUUGGGCGUAAAGCGCGUGUAGGCGGUCCGGUAAGUCAGCUGUGAAAGUCAAGGGCUCAACCCUUGAAUGCCGGUUGAUACUGUCGGGCUAGAGUCCGGAAGAGGCGAGUGGAAUUCCCGGUGUAGCGGUGAAAUGCGCAGAUAUCGGGAGGAACACCAAUGGCGAAGGCAGCUCGCUGGGACGGUACUGACGCUGAGGAGCGAAAGCGUGGGGAGCAAACAGGG